ensembl:lncRNA
ACUACUUUGUACUACAUUCUCCAGAUACUUUAGGCAUCCUUGACAAUGAUAUUUGCGAUGUAAGCAACAGUUUACAACACAGAAGUAUGAGGACGCAACACAACAGCAUUCCUUGUUGUACACAAGUACCCUGGAAAAAUCAAAAUGGGAGAUGAAGACAGCGGCGAUGGCAAUCUGUGUCAGUUAUUCCAGAGCCACCCCCGGUUCCCUGUGGGUCUUAUCUGAGCCACUUAGCUGGGAUAUUCUAGACACAUCCACUGGACUUCUCCACAGCGGAAAUAGAUAACCACACCCCAUCUACCCUGCGGUACUCAUCAACCUGGUUACCAAGGUUACUGCACACCGCCAGGAAACCACAUUAAGCCACAACAUGAGAAAGGAGAUAUUGUACAACAAGGAAAGUAAAAAAAAGAAAGAAAGAAAAAAAAGGCAAGGUUGCAAACUACAGUGUUUUUUUCAAAGCACUGAUCUCUUUUGAUCAGAAGCAAGAUUUUUGAGCUGAUUUUGAAAAAAAAAGGAAAAAAAAGUUUAAUUAUUAGGGUAACAUUUACACUAAGAUAAAACUUGUCAACAUUAGUAAAUGUAUUGGGUAUCAUUAACAAAUUUAUACAUUAUGAAAUUGUGUAAAAUGUGCAAGUAUAAUUUGUUUAGAUUAAUCUUCAAAAGUGUAAAUGUUCAAUUAAUUUCUCUGUUAAUUUAUGUACAUUUGUAACUUUUUAAAUGUUGUAUAAAUAUUUAAUAUAUUGUGAUAAAUUAACAGUGAACAAUAUGUUUAUAAAUUAACAUAAAUUAGAUAAAUGUUAAUGAAAAUUUGUGUUAGUUCAUGAUACCUAAUGCAAUAACCAAUUGUAACUUAAGUGCUGCAGGAUUUUCUUCACAAAAAUCAUACUUGUCUAAGUUUGAUUAGUAACCAUGUGUCACCAAUCAUUUACUCACAAUCCAGGGCACAAAACAAAACAUGACUGUCACUGGUGUUCCAUCAAAAAAAAAAAAAACAAUGGAAAUGCAUGAUGCAUUUGUUUUUUCAAUCUAUUUUAAUGCUCCUGGCUGGUGCAUCUUCGGAUGAAGUGACAGAAUGCAUCAGUAUCCCUGGGCCAGCAGGACCAUAAUGAAAAGUAAUUAGAAUCAUUUGGACUCUGGGUUUAGUAAGAAUCCUGAUUAAUGACGCAGCAGUGAGAGCAGAGAAACUGCUCUCCCAGGCACUGAAGAUCAGUGCUGGCAAACAAGCCACUGGCCAAGCCAGCAGAUCAAAAACUCAGGCUUUCACCUGCCACUGCCCCACUUUG